CGAUUCCCUUAGUAGCGGCGAGCGAAACGGGAAGAGCCCAAACCAACAAGCUUGCUUGUUGGGGUUGUAGGACACUCUAUACGGAGUUACAAAGGACGACAUUAGACGAAUCAUCUGGAAAGAUGAAUCAAAGAAGGUAAUAAUCCUGUAGUCGAAAAUGUUGUCUCUCUUGAGUGGAUCCUGAGUACGACGGAGCACGUGAAAUUCCGUCGGAAUCUGGGAGGACCAUCUCCUAAGGCUAAAUACUCUCUAGUGACCGAUAGUGAACCAGUACCGUGAGGGAAAGGUGAAAAGCACCCCGGAAGGGGAGUGAAAUAGAACCUGAAACCGUGUGCUUACAAGUAGUCAGAGCCCGUUAAUGGGUGAUGGCGUGCCUUUUGUAGAAUGAACCGGCGAGUUACGAUUUGAUGCAAGGUUAAGCAGUAAAUGUGGAGCCGUAGCGAAAGCGAGUCUGAAUAGGGCGUUUAGUAUUUGGUCGUAGACCCGAAACCAGGUGAUCUACCCUUGGUCAGGUUGAAGUUCAGGUAACACUGAAUGGAGGACCGAACCGACUUACGUUGAAAAGUGAGCGGAUGAACUGAGGGUAGCGGAGAAAUUCCAAUCGAACCUGGAGAUAGCUGGUUCUCUCCGAAAUAGCUUUAGGGCUAGCCUCAAGUGAUGAUUAUUGGAGGUAGAGCACUGUUUGGACGAGGGGCCCCUCUCGGGUUACCGAAUUCAGACAAACUCCGAAUGCCAAUUAAUUUAACUUGGGAGUCAGAACAUGGGUGAUAAGGUCCGUGUUCGAAAGGGAAACAGCCCAGACCACCAGCUAAGGUCCCAAAAUAUAUGUUAAGUGGAAAAGGAUGUGGCGUUGCCCAGACAACUAGGAUGUUGGCUUAGAAGCAGCCAUCAUUUAAAGAGUGCGUAAUAGCUCACUAGUCGAGUGACACUGCGCCGAAAAUGUACCGGGGCUAAACAUAUUACCGAAGCUGUGGAUUGUCCUUUGGACAAUGGUAGGAGAGCGUUCUAAGGGCGUUGAAGCAUGAUCGUAAGGACAUGUGGAGCGCUUAGAAGUGAGAAUGCCGGUGUGAGUAGCGAAAGACGGGUGAGAAUCCCGUCCACCGAUUGACUAAGGUUUCCAGAGGAAGGCUCGUCCGCUCUGGGUUAGUCGGGUCCUAAGCUGAGGCCGACAGGCGUAGGCGAUGGAUAACAGGUUGAUAUUCCUGUACCACCUAUAAUCGUUUUAAUCGAUGGGGGGACGCAGUAGGAUAGGCGAAGCGUGCGAUUGGAUUGCACGUCUAAGCAGUAAGGCUGAGUAUUAGGCAAAUCCGGUACUCGUUAAGGCUGAGCUGUGAUGGGGAGAAGACAUUGUGUCUUCGAGUCGUUGAUUUCACACUGCCGAGAAAAGCCUCUAGAUAGAAAAUAGGUGCCCGUACCGCAAACCGACACAGGUAGUCAAGAUGAGAAUUCUAAGGUGAGCGAGCGAACUCUCGUUAAGGAACUCGGCAAAAUGACCCCGUAACUUCGGGAGAAGGGGUGCUCUUUAGGGUUAACGCCCAGAAGAGCCGCAGUGAAUAGGCCCAAGCGACUGUUUAUCAAAAACACAGGUCUCUGCUAAACCGUAAGGUGAUGUAUAGGGGCUGACGCCUGCCCGGUGCUGGAAGGUUAAGAGGAGUGGUUAGCUUCUGCGAAGCUACGAAUCGAAGCCCCAGUAAACGGCGGCCGUAACUAUAACGGUCCUAAGGUAGCGAAAUUCCUUGUCGGGUAAGUUCCGACCCGCACGAAAGGCGUAACGAUUUGGGCACUGUCUCAACGAGAGACUCGGUGAAAUCAUAGUACCUGUGAAGAUGCAGGUUACCCGCGACAGGACGGAAAGACCCCGUGGAGCUUUACUGUAGCCUGAUAUUGAAAUUCGGCACAGCUUGUACAGGAUAGGUAGGAGCCUUUGAAACGUGAGCGCUAGCUUACGUGGAGGCGCUGGUGGGAUACUACCCUAGCUGUGUUGGCUUUCUAACCCGCACCACUUAUCGUGGUGGGAGACAGUGUCAGGCGGGCAGUUUGACUGGGGCGGUCGCCUCCUAAAAGGUAACGGAGGCGCUCAAAGGUUCCCUCAGAAUGGUUGGAAAUCAUUCAUAGAGUGUAAAGGCAUAAGGGAGCUUGACUGCGAGACCUACAAGUCGAGCAGGGUCGAAAGACGGACUUAGUGAUCCGGUGGUUCCGCAUGGAAGGGCCAUCGCUCAACGGAUAAAAGCUACCCCGGGGAUAACAGGCUUAUCUCCCCCAAGAGUUCACAUCGACGGGGAGGUUUGGCACCUCGAUGUCGGCUCAUCGCAUCCUGGGGCUGUAGUCGGUCCCAAGGGUUGGGCUGUUCGCCCAUUAAAGCGGUACGCGAGCUGGGUUCAGAACGUCGUGAGACAGUUCGGUCCCUAUCCGUCGUGGGCGUAGGAAAUUUGAGAGGAGCUGUCCUUAGUACGAGAGGACCGGGAUGGACAUACCUCUGGUGUACCAGUUGUCGUGCCAACGGCAUAGCUGGGUAGCUAUGUGUGGACGGGAUAAGUGCUGAAAGCAUCUAAGCAUGAAGCCCCCCUCAAGAUGAGAUUUCCCAACUUCGGUUAUAAGAUCCCUCAAAGAUGAUGAG
rnacentral:rRNA from 1 species